rnacentral:rRNA from 1 species
AAGGGAAACCGAGUCUUAACUGGGCGUUAAGUUGCAGGGUAUAGACCCGAAACCCGGUGAUCUAGCCAUGGGCAGGUUGAAGGUUGGGUAACACUAACUGGAGGACCGAACCGACUAAUGUUGAAAAAUUAGCGGAUGACUUGUGGCUGGGGGUGAAAGGCCAAUCAAACCGGGAGAUAGCUGGUUCUCCCCGAAAGCUAUUUAGGUAGCGCCUCGUGAAUUCAUCUCCGGGGGUAGAGCACUGUUUCGGCAAGGGGGUCAUCCCGACUUACCAACCCGAUGCAAACUGCGAAUACCGGAGAAUGUUAUCACGGGAGACACACGGCGGGUGCUAACGUCCGUCGUGAAGAGGGAAACAACCCAGACCGCCAGCUAAGGUCCCAAAGUCAUGGUUAAGUGGGAAACGAUGUGGGAAGGCCCAGACAGCCAGGAUGUUGGCUUAGAAGCAGCCAUCAUUUAAAGAAAGCGUAAUAGCUCACUGGUCGAGUCGGCCUGCGCGGAAGAUGUAACGGGGCUAAACCAUGCACCGAAGCUGCGGCAGCGACACUGUGUGUUGUUGGGUAGGGGAGCGUUCUGUAAGCCUGUGAAGGUGUGCUGUGAGGCAUGCUGGAGGUAUCAGAAGUGCGAAUGCUGACAUAAGUAACGAUAAAGCGGGUGAAAAGCCCGCUCGCCGGAAGACCAAGGGUUCCUGUCCAACGUUAAUCGGGGCAGGGUGAGUCGACCCCUAAGGCGAGGCCGAAAGGCGUAGUCGAUGGGAAACAGGUUAAUAUUCCUGUACUUGGUGUUACUGCGAAGGGGGGACGGAGAAGGCUAUGUUGGCCGGGCGACGGUUGUCCCGGUUUAAGCGUGUAGGCUGGUUUUCCAGGCAAAUCCGGAAAAUCAAGGCUGAGGCGUGAUGACGAGGCACUACGGUGCUGAAGCAACAAAUGCCCUGCUUCCAGGAAAAGCCUCUAAGCAUCAGGUAACAUCAAAUCGUACCCCAAACCGACACAGGUGGUCAGGUAGAGAAUACCAAGGCGCUUGAGAGAACUCGGGUGAAGGAACUAGGCAAAAUGGUGCCGUAACUUCGGGAGAAGGCACGCUGAUAUGUAGGUGAAGUCCCUCGCGGAUGGAGCUGAAAUCAGUCGAAGAUACCAGCUGGCUGCAACUGUUUAUUAAAAACACAGCACUGUGCAAACACGAAAGUGGACGUAUACGGUGUGACGCCUGCCCGGUGCCGGAAGGUUAAUUGAUGGGGUCAGCGCAAGCGAAGCUCUUGAUCGAAGCCCCGGUAAACGGCGGCCGUAACUAUAACGGUCCUAAGGUAGCGAAAUUCCUUGUCGGGUAAGUUCCGACCUGCACGAAUGGCGUAAUGAUGGCCAGGCUGUCUCCACCCGAGACUCAGUGAAAUUGAACUCGCUGUGAAGAUGCAGUGUACCCGCGGCAAGACGGAAAGACCCCGUGAACCUUUACUAUAGCUUGACACUGAACAUUGAGCCUUGAUGUGUAGGAUAGGUGGGAGGCUUUGAAGUGUGGACGCCAGUCUGCAUGGAGCCGACCUUGAAAUACCACCCUUUAAUGUUUGAUGUUCUAACGUGGACCCGUGAUCCGGGUUGCGGACAGUGUCUGGUGGGUAGUUUGACUGGGGCGGUCUCCUCCUAAAGAGUAACGGAGGAGCACGAAGGUUGGCUAAUCCUGGUCGGACAUCAGGAGGUUAGUGCAAUGGCAUAAGCCAGCUUGACUGCGAGCGUGACGGCGCGAGCAGGUGCGAAAGCAGGUCAUAGUGAUCCGGUGGUUCUGAAUGGAAGGGCCAUCGCUCAACGGAUAAAAGGUACUCCGGGGAUAACAGGCUGAUACCGCCCAAGAGUUCAUAUCGACGGCGGUGUUUGGCACCUCGAUGUCGGCUCAUCACAUCCUGGGGCUGAAGUAGGUCCCAAGGGUAUGGCUGUUCGCCAUUUAAAGUGGUACGCGAGCUGGGUUUAGAACGUCGUGAGACAGUUCGGUCCCUAUCUGCCGUGGGCGCUGGAGAACUGAGGGGGGCUGCUCCUAGUACGAGAGGACCGGAGUGGACGCAUCACUGGUGUUCGGGUUGUCAUGCCAAUGGCACUGCCCGGUAGCUAAAUGCGGAAGAGAUAAGUGCUGAAAGCAUCUAAGCACGAAACUUGCCCCGAGAUGAGUUCUCCCUGACCCUUUAAGGGUCCUGAAGGAACGUUGAAGACGACGACGUUGAUAGGCCGGGUGUGUAAGCGCAGCGAUGCGUUGAGCUAACCGGUACUAAUGAACCGUGAGGCUUAACCUUACAACGCCGAAGGUGUUU